UUAUUUGGUUAAUUUUCGGUAUUGAGAGCUCACUGCUCCCUAGUUUCACUUUUGUCAGAGAGUAAUAACUAGAUACCCAGUGUCUAAUCUGGGUGAAAUCGCUAAGAUCAUAGACAUGUGGUUUUUUUUUGUUAUUCAUUAGACGAGUGGAAGAGCUCAGAGCCCGCCUGGUGUGAAGUGGUUACUGGAGCCCAUAGACAUCUACAACGUAAAUGCCGCCACCCACCUUGGGACAUGAGUUCUAAAGUCUCAGUUUUUACAGUACAACGGCUGCCCCAGCCUUCAAGCCGAAACGCAUUACUGCUUCACGACAUAAAGAGGGUGGGUGGUGGUACCUACUUAUUAACUGUAUUGGCUAUAAAAAACGUGCGCAAUUCAAAUGUGAAAGUGAAACCUUUAAAAGUAUUAUAUUUUGUUCUCGCAAGCUAGAUUCUAUAUAUAUGUACACAGAUUUGUUGACUUUUUGGUGUCCUUACAAGUUUCAAAUCAAAACGGUGCUAAAAAAAUAUUCAUUUCUAUAAAUGAACAAGCCACUAUUAUUAUACUAUAUAUUUUAUUACAUUACAAUAAUAUUUACAACAUAUUAUUAUUACAAUAAUAACAUGAUCGUUACUGUUGAGCAAGAGACAAGUUUAUCACACAUGCCUAAUUUCAGAACGUUCCUAUGGGGGAGGAUGUUGUUCAGUCACAAGGUCAUAUCAUCACUGAUAAUGUGUCGCCGAUGCCGAUGGCACACAAUUUUUUUUGUAUUAAGGGAUUUCUGUUUACCCAAAGUCCUUUCAGCUUCACCAGGAUUGGUUUUAUAACAUAACCAUUAAGUCAAAAACACAAAAAUAGCAUUAAUAAUGGUACAAAUUAAAAUACUUACUUGUUUAGUAAUUAUGCGGAUAAUAAAUGCAGCCAUGACCAAGGCACUUCCAACCCACCGUGUCUUUGCGUGAGGGGUCCAUCUGUCUAAUGUACUCUGAUAAACCUAUUAAAAAGAAUUAUGCAGAUCAUUUAUAUACAUAUCUAAUUUACAUUCAAAAUCCGAUCCAUUAGUCAUAUUUAAAUUGUACAUUCUGAUUCAAAGAGAAUUCAUUCAUUAAGUCAUUAUUGAUUGUACUGUGUAAGUUUAUCCAACCUUGUUUGAAUUCAGUUUAUAGUGCGAAUGGGCUCAGGCAAUCAUUUAACUCAAAGUGUCAUUUUUUCAUUUUGUCAUAUUGAUCAUUUACUUACAUCUUUAUAAAUAUAAUAGCACUGUGUAUGUGUAUGAUGUAGUGUGAACAUUUCCUAAAAGGCUGGACCAAUUUUGAUGGAUUUUUUUGUGUGUGUACAGGGAGUUUAUUGGGUCUUUGUGCUAAAACUUAUUUUUUCACUAUUUUGAAAUGUGAAUUCACUAGUUUGAAAAAAGAUUGAAAGUAGUUAUAGUUUAAUGUUUUUUAAUCAUUAUUUGGUUGAAGAGGUGGCUGUCCACCUGAUGCUAAGUGAUUACCAGAAACGACAGGCAUUGCAACAUAAAUGCCAGUUUUUCCAAAUCAAUACUUGCUUUGUAUUGUACAAUUUAUACCAAAAUUGCACCUUUGGUAAAAAUGGUUUUAUACCAAUUUUAUUAUUGAACGUAUAUGGCACUGCACCACUAUAAUCCUCUUAUCGUGCUUGUAAGCUUUCCAAGCACCAUUCUCCAUUCUCAUAUUGCAAUGAACAAUGAGAAGAGCAACCUCUCCAAUUGCAUUUCUUGCUGAAUCCCCUCACGGAUCCUCUCAUGGGUCACGAUUCCAAUCCGGUGGUAGAUUCAGGGUAGCACUAACCUUGCUAGGGCUACUAGUGUUAUCAAUGUUAGCAGUGUUUAUGUGAUAUUGUUAAAAUUUAAGUUCAUAUCCACCAAAUAAAAAUGCAUGAGUAAUUUGUGGCAGAUUUAUGUCAGUACUCUUGUUUGCCCUAGUUUCGUGCAAGUUCAUGACUCAUCUGGUCUUAAGUGGUUACUGGAACUCUCAGGCACUGUAACAUGAAUGGCACCAGAGUGUAGUAUCACCAUACAGAACUGACUAAAACUGGUGAACUAUAAUAAUUUCAGGCAUAUUGGAAGGCCCUCCGCUGUACUAUACUUACACAGUGUACUUUCAAUUCAAUUUAAUAGAAAUAUAGAAUACAACACCUUACAGAAUGUGGUGUAUCACAGCCGAAUUUCACUAUCCAAUUAGAGAUAUAUUCAGAUGGUUAAAAAAGUCAAGCAAUGUGACACUGUAUUUUCUAGAUUUAAAUAUACAUAAACUAGAAAACUACGAUAGUGUAAGCAGAACACCUAGGAAUCCUAGAAGCGGCCACCAAAAUCCACAUUAAAACAUGUAAAAGGUUGCAAAAGUGUAGCAAUGUGGUCCAAUAUAAAUAUCUCAAGUGUCAAACAUAAUGUGAUACCUGUGAAGCACUUGUAAAGGUAUUUUAUUUAAAAAAAAUCUUUCAAUGGACUAAGAGACAUAAUGGAUCAUGUAAUAUAUUAAUACUUUUACUCAUUUGGGCACAAAGCUUUCAAGUCAUUGUAGCUCCUCCCUUUAAACAAGUAAGAGCAUUACUGAGACUAUACAUGCAAUAAGCAAUAGUUUUAUUGGUCUUAAACAAUAUUGCUGACAAGACCAAUUAUAUUGAAAAUAAAACCAAAGUUAAUUUUUUUACAUCAUAGCAGAUGAGAACUAUGGUUGGCAUAUUCAUUGACAACAGCCAUACAAUAAUCAAACGGGUAUUUGAGACAGUCCUUGAUCUGCCGAGAAACCCACUAAAAUGUUCAUCUAAUUCACAGGAGUGGACACAUACUAGGUUUCACUUUUUUGGUUACAAAGGUCGCUCUCCAAGGCAGUUAGCAAGUCGAGGCAGCUCAUUGACUUCUGGAGGAGAUGGGAUUGUGCUCGUAACGAGUCUACCCACACACAGAAUUGGCAAAAUUAAGGGACGAUGAAUUGCAGAGAACUACUAGUUCAUUGAAUUGAAGGGAUAAUAAAAUAUCUAAGUAUAUGGAUAGAUGGUAGUAAAGUAGUUGUAGUUUACAAAGACUAGGGUCACAUAACAUUUCAUUUUUAAAUUUGAAAGUAUCAGAGUUAAAACACACUGAGCAUCGUGAAAGUCAAAGGGUAAGAUUUCCUCCAAUACCUGCGAUAUUCGUGUCCAACCUUGAGACAAUAUUCCUUUUCUUGUAAUUUCAGAAGAUAAAUCAUUUCCGUCCAUCAUAUUUUCGAUGUUUUCCUCAUGGGCUUACUCCAGAUAAUUUGAACAAAUAUCGAAUAAAUUAUAGGUUAUUUUAAAUUUUUCCCCGCAUUAAACAGACUUACUAUGUAUAUUUUUGAUAUAGCGUAAUACUUCAAGUUAUUUAUUUGAAAACAAUUUAUUAGAAUAAAAUUGAGGAGUUGGAAGUUUGCACCAAAUCAUACUUAGUUAGGGUUGCCUGCUUAAA